rnacentral:rRNA from 1 species
UACGGAGGGAGCUAGCGUUAUUCGGAAUUACUGGGCGUAAAGCGCACGUAGGCGGCUUUGUAAGUUAGAGGUGAAAGCCCGGGGCUCAACUCCGGAAUUGCCUUUAAAACUGCAUCGCUAGAAUUGUGGAGAGGUAAGUGGAAUUCCGAGUGUAGAGGUGAAAUUCGUAGAUAUUCGCAAGAACACCAGUGGCGAAGGCGGCUCACUGGCCCAGUACUGACGCUGAGGUGCGAAAGCGUGGGGAGCAAACAGGG